rnacentral:rRNA from 2 species
UGAGGAAUAUUGGUCAAUGGGCGCAAGCCUGAACCAGCCAAGUAGCGUGAAGGAUGACUGCCCUAUGGGUUGUAAACUUCUUUUUUACGGGAACAAAUGUUGCUACGUGUAGCAAUUUGCGUGUACCGUACGAAUAAGCAUCGGCUAACUCCGUGCCAGCAGCCGCGGUAAUACGGAGGAUGCGAGCGUUAUCCGGAUUUAUUGGGUUUAAAGGGAGCGUAGGUGGUUUGUUAAGCCAGCUGUGAAAUACUGUAGCUCAACUACAGCCGUGCAGUUGGAACUGGCAGACUUGAGUGCACAAGAGGAUGGUGGAAUUCAUGGUGUAGCGGUGAAAUGUUUAGAUAUCAUGAAGAACUCCGAUUGCGAAGGCAGCCAUCUGGGGUGCAACUGACACUGAUGCUCGAAAGUGUGGGUAUCGAACAGG